UCUAGUCUAGUGCCCCAGCGCCUGGCACAGAAAAGGGAGAAAUGAAUCACCAUGAAACCCAGUUUCUCAAGUGCAGAAUAGGGAUUUUACCUGCCUCAUAGAGUUGCUAUUAGGGGAAAAAAAAAAAAAAAAAGAACGUAGUAAAGGUAUCAGGAAAUACCUAACAUGCCUUCAACAGGUGUUCUGUAAAUACUAGUUCCUUUUCCUUCUUUUCAAUUAUGGUCAUCCAUAUUUACUUUCAGUUGGGGCAGGGACAAGGAGUGAGAUAACAAGUAAAGGUCAGUGGUUCAUGUAGCUUGAAACAGAAGUGAGAAGCAGGAGAGAAAGCCUCCCACUGACACAGGGUUGGGAACUUGCCAGGGGGAUGUGGUAUAUUUAAAUUGUUGGUGCCUUUUAGAAGCAGCUUCCAGCUGCAAAUUCCUGUUAGGACAGAAUUGCGGGAUGUUUUCUCUUUUGAAUUAAGAUAACUUAAUGCCUUAAAAUAGCCUGGUUAAUUUUUGUGAGUGAUUUCUUGACUUUAUUUCUACUGUCAAGAAGCUUCUCUUGGGAGGACAUUGCAGCCCGGUGGGAAGUAUGUAUCCACGAUCAGUGGCAUGUAAGGAGAGCGAGAAGGAUCAUCUUGAAGCUGUGUUUGCAAACAAAAAUCACUGUAUAGUAUUAUCUACAUACUCAUCUUUGUCCCCCGCAAAACUGUGGAUGGUUAAGGGAGAAGACCUGUCCAGUCAAUCCUGUAUCCUGAACACCUGAAAGGCUGUUUCUGCAAGGACUUCCCUAAAUGCCGAGUGAUCCCAUGCCACUAUAUAGUAUGGGAAAGCAAAACCUCAAUACAUUUGGAUAUGAAGAAUGGAUUGAGACUGAGAACCACCAAUACUCUGAAAUCCUGGUCUUCUUUAUAGGAACCUCAGUCCUUGGCCACUGAACUUCAACCAUAAUGGAUUUGAGUUUGCCAUAAUCCCUUGAGCUUUGUUUUGAACUGUUGACAAUCUUUGUGGUCAUUGUUUUUCCCUAGACUCUAUUAUGUAUUGGCUCAGUUUUAAGUUAUCUCUUAAUUUUAUUCCUUUAUGUAUGUUAUAGCCCAUGAUUUGGAAAAUAGAAUUUAUUGCUGUUGACUCUAUUCCCCCCAAAACCAUGUUAUCAUUUGUUGACAUCAUAGUAAAAUUUCAGCAUGAGUUUUGAGGGAAUAAUAAUCCUAGGAGAGCUGAAUCUUGAAACACUGUGUUAUAAAGUGAUUGCUCACCUUCACAGGCUCGUCUUUUACCACUACCCCACAUUACUUUCAUUUCAUGUGUUAAAAGUAUCUAGUAAGACAGUCUUUAAGGUCUUUCAUUAUACCAUUUUCAUGCCCCUGGGGUUUCAUGCUAUCUUACUAUCUGACUUAGCACUACCCUUCCCUAUUCUUCAUUUGGCUGAUUUGGUUUAGGAUGUUAUGUUUUCCCAAAUCUCCUUGGUAAGCACCCAAGACUGAAUAUUCAACUGUCCUAUAGUAACAAUCUAUUAACUGCUUUUUUGGUAAUUAAUUAGCUUGCAACCUCUGGAUAGUAGGCUGAAUAAUGGUCCCCAAUGGCAUGGUUCUAAUGCUUAGAACCUGUAAACAAUACCUUACGUGGCAAAAGAGGUUGUGUAGAUAUUAUUAAGUAUCUUGAGGUGGGUUAUCCAGGUGAGUCUUAUCCCAAGCACCCUUAUAAGAGAGAAGGAGAAGAUUUGACAAACAAAUGAAGAGGGCUCAUGACAACUGAAGCAAGAUAUUGUUUCAUGGGCUUUGACGAUGGAAGAAGAGUUCCAUGAGCUAAGGAAUCUAAGGACUGAAUUUGCUGAAGCUGGGAAAGACAAGGAAAUAGAUUCCUCCCAGAGUCUCCAGAGGGAGCUCAAUCCUGUCUGUACUUUGGUUUUGCCCAUGAAACUGGUUUUGGGCUUCUAAUUUCCAGAAUA